UACGUAGGGAGCAAGCGUUGUCCGGAAUCAUUGGGCGUAAAGCGCGCGUAGGUGGCCAGUAAGUCCGUUCUGGAAGUCACAGGCUCAACCUGUGAAAGCGGAUGGAUACUGCUGGGCUAGAGUCCGGAAGAGGCGAGUGGAAUUCCUGGUGUAGCGGUGGAAUGCGCAGAUAUCAGGAGGAACACCAACGGCGAAGGCAGCUCGCUGGGACGGUACUGACACUAAGGCGCGAAAGCGUGGGGAGCGAACAGG
rnacentral:rRNA from 1 species